GGGCGCAUGGUUUAGUGGUAUAAUACUCCCUUAGCAUGAUUCGAUGGGAUUCCGGUCCAAUUUACCGAUGACUAAUUGGGAGUGGUCCUGGGUUCGAUUCCCAGUGUGUCCA